rnacentral:rRNA from 1 species
CGCGAGGCAGAGCAAACCCUAAAAGCCAUCCCAGUUCGGGUUGCAGGCUGCAACCCGCCUGUAUGAAGUUGGAAUCGCUAGUAAUCGCGGAUCAGCAUGCCGCGGUGAAUACGUUCCCGGGCCUUGUACACACCGCCCGUCACACCAUGAGAGUCGGGAACACCCGAAGUCCGUAGCCUAACCGCAAGGGGGGCGCGGCCGAAGGUGGGUUCGAUAAUUGGGGUGAAGUCGUAACAAGGUAUC